rnacentral:rRNA from 1 species
UACGUAGGGUGCGAGCGUUAAUCGGAAUUACUGGGCGUAAAGUGUGCGCAGGCGGCCGAGCAAGUCGAGUGUGAAAGCCCCGAGCUUAACUUGGGAACUGCGCUCGAAACUACUUGGCUAGAGUGUGGCAGAGGGAGGUGGAAUUCCACGUGUAGCGGUGAAAUGCGUAGAGAUGUGGAGGAACACCGAUGGCGAAGGCAGCCUCCUGGGCCAACACUGACGCUCAUGCACGAAAGCGUGGG